rnacentral:lncRNA from 1 species
AAAUUUUGUGAACUAAAUUUGAGCAACUCAAUACUCGAAUCGACUCGGUUCGUUUACACUCUUAGUUGUAAAAGGUCAAAAGUAUAUAUCAGAGGGAGUAAACAAGUUGAGUUGAGCCCAAUUGUUUGUCGUAUUGCAUGCAUUACCAUUAAUGGAAAGCCUUGUAAUAAAUCCAUUGCUAGCUUGCUACCAAAAACACACAGAACUUAAUUACAUACCAAAAAAUGCGUCUGUUUUACAUUGAAAAACUGGUAAAAAAAAAAUGAAGAAAAGGUUAACUAGCACUAGCUCGAUCAACAAACAUGCAUGCAUGCAUGUUACUGCGUAUAUUUGUUUUGUGUACUUUUAAUUCACCCGUACGCAGUACUGUGAAACCUUUUAAUGAUGCAUGAAUUGAGAAUUGUUAGCAACACUUGGUUGCUAGUGCACCUUGGGGUCUUGAACUGGCUCAAUGCUGCUCCAUUUCCUAAGAAAUGCUCCAAAAUCUUCUUAAAAGUGCCCCUUUCCAAAAUGCAAAGCUCUAGCGGUCCUAUCGAAUUGGUUCUUCUGGACACAACAUAUCCAUGAUCCACAAAUGAUGCGUCCAUUACUUGGCAACACUCUCUUAGAACGUCUUCUUCGACGUCUCCUUUGAUCUCCCAGUAAAUUAUGUAAUGCCCCGGUUGGUUUUCUACGUCAGCAUGGCUUGUGAAAUCAACCACCUCCGCUCUUGCCAUCCUGCUCAGCAACUGUGAACCCUUGUCUACCACUAGUUGAAGGUCUUUUUCGGUAUUUUUGUCAAUAUUUAUGGUCAAAAUUAGCUUCCUCCUGCAUAUGAAGUUCAGUUUGGGAGUCCCUUUGUAAAAACCAGUCACUUCCACCACAUCUCCUAAUCUGUACCUAUAAAGCCCUGUGAAAGGUGGAGUACUAGACAAUCAACCAAGAGAACAUGCAAGACAUACAUAACAAUCAAAUAUAUAUAGUGACUACCUGGCUAGUUAGAUUUAGAAACUUUCCUAAACUAGUUGGAUUUAGAACUUUCCUUAACUAGUUGAACAAGAAAAUCAGCUGCCAAUCAUGUUUAUCCAAGAUUCAUUUGAUCUCAAAAUCAUCAACACUCCACGUAGCGUUUAUGACUCCUCAGAGAUUUGAAUAUUGUUUUACUGAAAGUAAGAAUAAUUCUAUGGGCAAGCAAAAUGUGUACAACUAAUAUUUUACCCGGACGAAUAAUUCAUUCAACUAAGAAAGCAAUUGCAGAUGUACAUUUCUGCAACAUUAAUUAACAGCGGGCGAAUUGUAAAACUGUCCCCUCAUGUAGACACUGAACUGCAACAUAGCUCAUGUAGACGCCAAUGUUCUUAAUGCCAUAACUAAUGUCUCAAUUUUUUGCAAAGUCGUCCCCUCUAACCAAUUUUGGUGAAAAUUAAUACUAAAACAAAACAAAUUUACAUAAUAAAAUUACUGCAAGUUUGCAAUGAUGGGAAAAGAAAAGUACUAGCGAGUAUAUACAUAAUUUGAAUAUUAAUUAGUUAAUUAUAAUUACUUGCCUGUAAAAGUAGUUAGGACAAUCUCAUAUUGUUGGCCAACCUUGAGUUUGGAGAGAGGUAUCGGUUGAUCUUCAAUGUAGGCAUGAUCAUCAGUACUAGCUGAAGUGCAACAAUCAUGAUUGUAUCUAUUGAGUGGUAUGAACUCAAAGUACGAAAAAGUGG